UUCUUACUUCAUUUCCCUCUCCUCUCCUUCCCUCUUUGACGUUAAUUAGGUUUUGCAAUUCCACCAACCUGGGGGUUGGCUCCAAUGCUUCACAGCCUCUCCAAAGUUGUUUAGCUGUUUAGUUGUUUAGUUGUUUAUACUUAGGAUUUUCAAAAGGAUAGAGGCAAAUAAAUGAUGAGAAUGGCAGAAGUGCCUAACACCAGAUAGGCCUUUGGGCCAGCUGGGAGACUAAAGUUCACUCCUUUGGUCCUUUUCCGAGGAAACCAGGCCUGUGGGGGAUGGGGGAGCGAAGACUCCCGUUGCUGGGCAACCGCUGGGCUUCCUGGGGACUCCAUCGGGCGCCAUCUUGACCGGACUCCACCUCUUGAGCAGAGUGGCCAUGGCUACCGCCUCCCCUUUGAGAAACCUGCAGGAGGAGGUGCUGUGUUCCAUUUGCCUUGACUAUCUGAGAGCCAGUGACCAGUGACUGCUGCAUCAUUGAGUUUGAUAGGGUAAAAUUCUAAACCAUUUGAAGAUUCUGAAGGGAGACAAAGAAUUCAGCAUUUUCAGUCUACUGAAGAUGAGAUUCAGGCUCUGCCGGAAAACUGAUGAGGGAUCUGGAAUAUAAAACAGCCCAGACUAAGCUGAGGUUUCCAUGGAAUGCUGGGUAAAAAUUCAUUUGGAGUUUCUAGAGGACCUAUAGGGGUGAAUGUGGAUGAAGACAAGAACUCAUAAAUCCGGGACCCGAGUCUAAAGGCUGAUGAGGCAGAAUCAUUACAGGCCUGGCCUCCACCAGCGACUUCCUGGCUGUCAAAUGAUUGCUCCCUCAUAGCUUGCAAUCCACAAACUCAGUGACAAGCAUUUGCUGUGGCCUUAGAAUUCAGAGACACCAAGGAAAGUCUUCACCUGAGGAGCUCCCAGUCCAAAUGGGAAGAAAAUCAUACGGCUGACUCUAAUGUCCAUAGAUGGAGAGGGAGAAGCAUCUUCCGGGAGCCUAGAGGAGGAAAAGAAGUGCUGACAAGGAGCAGUAACACCUGUCACCUGUUCUGUCACCUCAUUCUGGCUGCUUUUGCU
rnacentral:lncRNA from 1 species